rnacentral:lncRNA from 1 species
UUUGAAUUUUGUAAGUGCUUUAAUAAUUUAUAUGAUUAUGUUGCAUAUUCUUUAGAUCAGUUUUAGUUUAGUAGUACUUGAAUCGUUAAGGAUUCGAGUUGUCACAAUUUUAGUUUGUUUUUAUUUGAUUUUCAAGUGCAUUGAAUGAAUUCGACGAGCAUGGUGUUCUUUUUAUUAUGCAUCUCACAACAUCUCCAUUAACCUUUCAGGGAAAAAUCCUUAUAGAUGGAAUAGGAUUAUGUUGACGUCAAUACAUGUAAAUGAAGUUUCAGAAAGUAAGAAAUUUCAUCCUACUGGGUGGAUAGAUAAGAGGGAUGGGUGGAUUAUUGUGGUUAGACGUCUGAGCUGAUAUUUAAAACUUGAUUUGGAAUUUAUCUAACUUUAACAGAUUCUAUCUCUUGCACUUACCUUUAACAAUUCUCACCAUUAGUUUUUGAUAUUGGAAAUGUUAAUUUGCAUCUCUUAUAGAAAAGAGGAUCAGCAUCCUGUCUUCAACUUCCGCUUGAAUUCAUAGGGAUAGGAAGUGUAGCUAAUUGAGACUAGUGAGAGCCUUUUUUUCCUUUUCAUCUCAGCCUUUGGUUCAUUCCAGUCUUCAUCUUGAUUGAGGUAAUUUAUUUAUUUUUUGAUAAUCGUGAGUGUCCAGGCUAACUUACUCGAAUCUCAACUCAUCCCACAGGACCCUGAAAUUUACAAUUGGGUACUCACCUCAGUGGUCCUAAGGGGACUUGAACUGGUGAUCAUUGGGGGAGCAAAUUCAAGAUCUGACCACUGAACUGCCCGUCAGGUAUAAUUGACUGCGGUAUUUAUUAAAAAUCAUGUUAGUUGUACCUAAAGUUGUAAAUUGUUUGUUCAAGGAUACACCUAGAAUUAGUUUAGUAAUGCUUAGGUGACUAAGUCUAUUUUGUAUGAAUUUUAUUAAUAGAUGACUCUGUCUAUUUUGUAUGUUUUAAAAAAUACGUAAUGAAAUUUUAUUCUCAAUUCCAUGCACUCAAAAAAAGUAUUUAGUUAUGUUGGAUAAUUUGCAUAUUUUAUUAUAAAAUUAUAAAAAAAAUCAUUAAUUAUGUUGGUUAAUUGCUAUAAAAAUACAAAAAAAAUGCAAAUUAAUUGAAAAAUUUAUAAAAACAAAUGACAACGUUUGAAAAAUUUUGCAAAAACUAAGGAUAAAAGCAAAGACAAAGAUCAAAAAAAUAUUGCAAGAAGAUUAACACAGAAAUAUAGACAACACUCGAAAAUGUUGCAAAUAAGUUAAAGAUGACGUUAAAAAAAAAUUGCAAAAAAGAAUAACGACAACAUUCAUAUUUUGCAGAAAAAAUUGACAUGACUCAUUUUGUGACAAAAAAUGUCUCCAGGAGAGUGCUGAGGAAGUAUAGAAGUCGUAGCUCUGAUCUUGAUGUCAAAGAAGAAAACAAGAGUCCUACCUCACUAGCUUUGAGGUAAAUGCAUUGUUAAAUUUUUUAACAUAUUUUAUAUAGUCUAGGUUACUUAACGUUCGAUUGAACUAGGAAUGACAAAUUGGCUCGCGGGCUCAAGCCGCCCGUGGCCUGGCCGAUAAAAAGGUUGAGCAAGCCUGGCUCAAAAUUUAGAAAAAAAAAAAAUUAAAACAAUUGGCUGUUGCCUUCAUAAGAAAGAAAAAAAUCAAGCUGGAUCGGUAAGGCCCGAGCCAAAGCUCCAGUCGGGCGUCAAUUUUUUGGCCAAACUUUUGCUCAGCUAGCACGAGCCAAAAAAAGCUGCUCGGGUCGUUGACACCCCUAGAUUGAACCCAUAUUCUGUAUUCCAUAUAUGUAUGAAAUUUUGGGUUACAUUUUACAACAAGUUGCUGUUGGUGUUAAAAUCGGUCUGAAUUUUUGAAUUACUUUGCUUGUACAUUGUUAAUUCGGUACUAUGAAUUUUUAAUGUG